rfam:Lepisosteus oculatus unplaced genomic scaffold TNK18, whole genome shotgun sequence.
GGUGCCGUGGUUUAGUUGGUUAAAGCGCCUGUCUAGUAAAUAGGAGAUCCAGGUUCCGAUUCCCAGCAGUGCCU